CCUGCUCAGAUUGAACGCUGGCGGCAGGCCUAACACAUGCAAGUCGAGCGGCAGCACGGGUACUUGUACCUGGUGGCGAGCGGCGGACGGGUGAGUAAUGCCUAGGAAUCUGCCUGGUAGUGGGGGAUAACGCUCGGAAACGGACGCUAAUACCGCAUACGUCCUACGGGAGAAAGCAGGGGACCUUCGGGCCUUGCGCUAUCAGAUGAGCCUAGGUCGGAUUAGCUAGUUGGUGAGGUAAUGGCUCACCAAGGCGACGAUCCGUAACUGGUCUGAGAGGAUGAUCAGUCACACUGGAACUGAGACACGGUCCAGACUCCUACGGGAGGCAGCAGUGGGGAAUAUUGGACAAUGGGCGAAAGCCUGAUCCAGCCAUGCCGCGUGUGUGAAGAAGGUCUUCGGAUUGUAAAGCACUUUAAGUUGGGAGGAAGGGCAUUUACCUAAUACGUAAGUGUUUUGACGUUACCGACAGAAUAAGCACCGGCUAA
rnacentral:rRNA from 1 species